rnacentral:misc_RNA from 1 species
AACGCACAUUGCGCCCUUUGGUAUUCCUUAGGGCAUGCUUGUUCGAGCGUCACUAAAAACCCCCUCACAGAUAAUGUGGUAUUGGUAGAAGUGAACGGUACUUACAUUACCUUGUCUCACUCUGCUAAAAUGAAUAGGCCAGAGAAGUGGACCCAUGGUAAUUGACUCCAGGAGUGUUUUUCAAUGCUAAACUAGUCUUUACCCAAGUCAAAUUCUGAGCUACCGGACCUCCCAUUAAGUCCAAAACAGAGUGGUUGACCUCGGAUCGGGUAGGGAUACCCGCUGAACUUAA